UUGCCUACGGGACGCAGCAGUGAGGAAUAUUGGCCAAUGGGAGAGAUCCUGAACCAGCCAAGCCGCGUGAGGGAAGACGGCCCUAUGGGUUGUAAACUUCUUUUAUAUGGGAAUAAAAUGUUCCACGUGUGGGAUUUUGUAUGUACCAUAUGAAUAAGGAUCGGCUAACUCCGUGCCAGCAGCCGCGGUAAUACGGAGGAUCCGAGCGUUAUCCGGAUUUAUUGGGUUUAAAGGGUGCGCAGGCGGAAUGUCAAGUCAGCGGUAAAAUUUCGGGGCUCAACCCCGUCGUGCCGUUGAAACUGGCG
rnacentral:rRNA from 1 species